rnacentral:rRNA from 1 species
CCUACGGGAGGCAGCAGUGGGGAAUAUUGGACAAUGGGCGCAAGCCUGAUCCAGCCAUGCCGCGUGAGUGAUGAAGGCCUUAGGGUUGUAAAGCUCUUUCAGUAGGGACGAUAAUGACGGUACCUACAGAAGAAGCCCCGGCUAACUUCGUGCCAGCAGCCGCGGUAAUACGAAGGGGGCUAGCGUUGUUCGGAUUUACUGGGCGUAAAGCGCACGUAGGCGGAUCGUUAAGUCGGGGGUGAAAUCCUGGAGCUCAACUCCAGAACUGCCUUCGAUACUGGCGAUCUUGAGUCCGGAAGAGGUGAGUGGAACUCCUAGUGUAGAGGUGGAAUUCGUAGAUAUUAGGAAGAACACCAGUGGCGAAGGCGGCUCACUGGUCCGGUACUGACGCUGAGGUGUGAAAGCGUGGGGAGCAAACAGGAUUAGAUACCCUGGUAGUCCACGCCGUAAACUAUGAGAGCUAGCCGUUGGGAGAUUUAUCUCUCAGUGGCGCAGCUAACGCAUUAAGCUCUCCGCCUGGGGAGUACGGCGCAAGAUUAAAACUCAAAGGAAUUGACGG